GAUGAACGCUGGCGGCGUGCCUAAUACAUGCAAGUAGAACGCUGAAGGAAGGAGCUUGCUCUUUCCGGAUGAGUUGCGAACGGGUGAGUAACGCGUAGGUAACCUGCCUGGUAGCGGGGGAUAACUAUUGGAAACGAUAGCUAAUACCGCAUAACAGUAGAUGUUGCAUGACAUCUGCUUGAAAGGGGCAAUUGCUCCACUACCAGAUGGACCUGCGUUGUAUUAGCUAGUUGGUGAGGUAACGGCUCACCAAGGCGACGAUACAUAGCCGACCUGAGAGGGUGAUCGACCACACUGGGACUGAGACACGGCCCAGACUCCUACGGGAGGCAGCAGUAGGGAAUCUUCGGCAAUGGACGGAAGUCUGACCGAGCAACGCCGCGUGAGUGAAGAAGGUUUUCGGAUCGUAAAGCUCUGUUGUAAGAGAAGAACGAGUGUGAGAGUGGAAAGUUCACACUG
rnacentral:rRNA from 1 species